UUAUUGGAUGAGUCAAGUCAUCCAACGCCCAGCCCACCUCUGUGCCUGACUUGAACAGGCUGGGACUUUCUUAGGUCUUGCCUUCAAAAUGAUGCAAGACUUGCAGUGGGAAACUAUUCCAGAAUAAAAGAACACAUGGAGACUAAUUGUGAUGAAUGUAUUAGCCUGAUGAUGGAAAUUAAAAGUUGGCCCCUGUAACAUAAAUGGAUCCCGGUCUUCUCAUUGUUUGUGAGCUGCUUUGGCGUUUGGACUGAUGGAAGGUCCUCAAGGAUUUCUCUUCCCCUGGCCCUGCUUUGCGAUCUUGGAGGACCCAUGUGAUGAAUUUGCUGUUGUCAGGGUGACAGCUCGAGGAGAAUGAGAUUUGGAAAUGCAAAACACAAAGAAAUACCUAGCCCAGGAUCACAGACCCUGGAGGUGGCAGAGCCGAGGUGCCAUCCCAGAGACUCAAGACAGUCGAGCUCAUGCUUAGAACGAUGCGGCUAUACAGCCUCUCUCUCCCAACAGAGAAUUGGCCACCUCUUCCCUGGGGAUGCUUCAAGAAGAAAAUGGGGAUCCUCCGAAUGUUGACCUGCACUAAGGUGGACUGUGCUCUUGAAAUGAGGCAUAAGUGAUAUUCAGCCAAGUAAAAAUUAAAGCUGUUUAAAGGGAGGGGUGUAAAUUUCCUGGAAAGCAGGAAAGGGUACCGACUUCAACAAGCUUACCUAAAAUAAACUUAAGAGUAUUACAGCAAGU